rnacentral:rRNA from 1 species
CCUACGGGGUGCAGCAGUGAGGAAUAUUGGUCAAUGGCCGGGAGUCUGAACCAGCCAAGCCGCGUGAAGGACGAAUGCCCUAUGCGUUGUAAACUUCUUUUAUAUAGGAAUAAAAUCAUGCUCGAGUGCGUUACUGUAUGUACCAUAUGAAUAAGGAUCGGCUAACUCCGUGCCAGCAGCCGCGGUAAUACGGAGGAUCCGAGCGUUAUCCGGAUUUAUUGGGUUUAAAGGGAGGGUAGGCGGAAUGUUAAGUCAGUUGGGAAAGUGUGGGGCUCAACCGUAACAGUGCAGUUGAAACUGGCAGUCUUGAGUACAGGAGAGGUAUGCGGAAUGCGUGGUGUAGCGGUGAAAUGCUUAGAUAUCGCGAAGAACUCCGAUUGCGAAGGCAGCUCACUGGAGUGCAACUGACGCUGAGGCUCGAAAGUGUGGGUAUCGAACAGGAUUAGAUACCCGUGUAGUC